ensembl:lncRNA
CAGAGGUGAGCAACCUAUUUCUGAAUUUCUAUUUACAGAAUUCAUGUAUUCAGAGGAAAACCACUGAAGAGACCAGAACACUGAACUGAUGUCCUGUCACUGUCCUGUCUUGCUUGCUUUGGAUUUCAAACUAAUCACAGCUGAGUCAAGGUAUACAGAACUCAUUCCUUCAUGAAGAAUGAAAGAGACAUGCUGAUGUUACUGUGAACUUCCAUAGUCAAAACUGAUCCCAUUGCAAGAUCUGAAUAGGACAUUGCCACACAGAUAAAUGAUCUUAGCAACAGUGAAGAAAAAGCUCUUGAAAAGGCUCCACCUGGAUCCUGUACUCUGCCAGCCUUGUAUCUAAUGCAGAUACCUCACAUGAAGAAAUUUAAGAAAAUAGCUCCUGAAUUCAAUGUUCACAGUCAGACCUUGCCCACAACAGAAGCACUGAAGGGUCAAGGGUGCUGCCUUGCCUGCAUAGCUGUAAAGUUUGACAAGAUACUCAAGCCUGGAAAAAAAAGGAAGACAGGAAAGUACUUCCUGACACCAGCUGUUUCAGAGAAGGGGGCUCACAAUGAGGUUUUGUUACGGGGUAAACCAUCAAAAAGAGGAACUUGGCUCAGGAGUAGGGUUUUUCCCUUUGUUUAUUGACCACAGAAUAGUGUGGCCAAUAUAUGAGAUCUCUGACUUCUUGAAGCUGUCCUUGAAGAUUCAGCAAGCCUUCUUUGUGGAGAUCCCUCCUAGAGAAUCCAGGAGUAUAAAAUAAAAGACAGAUUAAGG